rnacentral:rRNA from 1 species
AUUGAACGCUGGCGGCAGGCUUAACACAUGCAAGUCGAGCGGGGUGAUGGUGCUUGCACUAUCACUUAGCGGCGGACGGGUGAGUAAUGCUUAGGAAUCUGCCUAUUAGUGGGGGACAACAUCCCGCAAGGGAUGCUAAUACCGCAUACGUCAUACGGGAGAAAGCAGGGGAUCGCUUGUGACCUUGCGCGAAUAGAUGAGCGUAAGUCGGAUUAGCUAGUUGGUGGGGUAAAGGCCUACCAAGGCGACGAUCUGUAGCGGGUCUGAGAGGGUGAUCCGCCACACUGGGACUGAGACACGGCCCAGACUCCUACGGGAGGCAGCAGUGGGGAAUAUUGGACAAUGGGGGGAACCCUGAUCCAGCCAUGCCGCGUGUGUGAAGAAGGCCUUAUGGUUGUAAAGCACUUUAAGCGAGGAGGAGGCUCUUUUGGUUAAUACCCAAGAUGAGUGGACGUUACUCGCAGAAUAAGCACCGGCUAACUCUGUGCCAGCCGCCGCCGUAA